rnacentral:sRNA from 1 species
GUUUAGCCCCGAUAGCAGCGGAAAUACUUUUUGUAGCACUUCCUUUAAUUUGUCGAAGCAUUUUGCAAUAACCCUUUCGUUAAAUUUAACAUUGUAGUACCACAAAAAGAUUGCAGCGAAUAGCGGGACUACCG